UAUCGUUUAUUUGAUAGUACCUUACUACUUGGAUAACCGUGGUAAUUCUAGAGCUAAUACAUGCUAAAAAUCCCGACUUCGGAAGGGAUGUAUUUAUUAGAUUAAAAACCAAUGCCCUCUGGGCUCUUUGGUGAUUCAUGAUAACUUCUCGAAUCGCACGGCCUUGCGCCGGCGAUGGUUCAUUCAAAUUUCUUCCCUAUCAACUUUCGAUGUUUGGGUAUUGGCCAAACAUGGUUGCAACGGGUAACGGAGGGUUAGGGCUCGACCCCGGAGAAGGAGCCUGAGAAACGGCUACUACAUCCAAGGAAGGCAGCAGGCGCGCAAAUUACCCAAUCCCGACACGGGGAGGUAGUGACAAUAAAUACUGAUACAGGGCUCUUUUGGGUCUUGUAAUUGGAAUGAGUACAAUUUAAAUCCCUUAACGAGGAACAAUUGGAGGGCAAGUCUGGUGCCAGCAGCCGCGGUAAUUCCAGCUCCAAUAGCGUAUAUUAAAGUUGUUGUGGUUAAAAAGCUCGUAGUUGAACCUUGGGCCUGGCUGGCCGGUCCGCCUCACCGCGUGUACUGGUCCGGCCGGGCCUUUCCCUCUGUGGAACCUCAUGCCCUUCACUGGGUGUGACGGGGAAACAGGACUUUUACUUUGAAAAAAUUAGAGUGCUCCAGGCAGGCCUAUGCUCGAAUACAUUAGCAUGGAAUAAUGAAAUAGGACGUGUGGUUCUAUUUUGUUGGUUUCUAGGACCGCCGUAAUGAUUAAUAGGGACAGUCGGGGGCAUCAGUAUUCAAUUGUCAGAGGUGAAAUUCUUGGAUUUAUUGAAGACUAACUACUGCGAAAGCAUUUGCCAAGGAUGUUUUCAUUAAUCAGGAAC
rnacentral:rRNA from 1 species